GUUCAGAGUUGGCCUUAUAGUUUUCCAGCUUCAGUGGACUACCCCACUAAAGAAGAGAGAGGUUCACUUAGUGGCCGAUUACUCGUUCGAGACAGGAAAGUUGACAUAACUUAUUCCCUUGAUUGAGAAUUUAUUGCUUAUGGAUUCCAUACUAAAAUUUCUCAGAAGCUCUAUAGUUGGGUAAUGCUAAUUAUUAAUUUAGUAGUGUCGGAAUCUUUAUGAUUGAUUCUCCACAAUUCCUGAGUUGGACUAUUAUUAUUCUUUAAGUGCUAGGAUUGGAUAGGCAUGUGGGUUUACUUUUGUUAGUUUUGAGACUUCAGUACUUGUAGCUUUUCUGCAAUUAACUAAUGAGAAUUAUGGAGCUUGGGUUAUACUUGGAUCGCUGAUUUUUGAUAAGCAAGUGACUUUACUAGGUGGGUUUGUCGGAGAAUUCAAUAGUUUUAGCUUUUCUAUAGUUACUAUGAAAUCUAGACUAUAAUUAUAUUCUUUUAAACUAUUUUUCCUAAGCAAGUGAGUUUAUCGGGUGGUUUGGUGGGAGAAUUCAGUACUUUUAGCUUUUAUAUAGUUACUAAGAAAUCUAGACUAUAAUUUUAUCCUUUGAAACUGUUUUUUCAAAUAAAACACCCUUUAGCUUCUUUAAUCCUCAGAUUUGUCAGCAGCAACGACAUGAUUGCGGAGCUGCUUAUGUUGGGCUGGCUUUGCCUGGAGAUGCUGGCUCGUGGCAAAGAGAAUGCAAGGGAUAUCAAUUCUGGACCAAAACUGAUUCUGAAGGUUAUUUCACCGUUAAUAGUGUUGGGAUUGGAGAUUACAAUCUCUAUGCAUGGGUAUAUGGUUUCAUUGGAGACUACAAAUAUGAUGACAUGAUCACUAUAUCUGCUGGUUCAGGCAGUAUGGGUUGUGGGAAAGAUAUGCUGACUUGUAUCCUAAUGAGGAUCUUGUCUACAUUGUUGGCACAAGCGACUAUCGGAAAGAUUGGUUUUUCGCACAGGUUACAAGAAGGGGGAAAAUGGCACAUAUCAAGCUACGACAUGGCAGAUAGAGUUCAACCUUGACAAUGUAAACCAAGAUGGUACCUAUAAGCUCCCAGUCGCCCUUGCAUCAGCUGCAAUGGCCGAACUACAGGUUCGAUUCAAUGAUCCCAAAGCCAAUCCACCACAUUUUACAACUGGAAGAAUAGGGAUGGAUAAUGCGAUCGCUAUCGCUAGGCAUGGGAUUCAUGGUCUCCACUGGUUGUAUAGUGUUGACAUAGAAAACACCUGCUUGUGGUGGGGGUAAAUACAAUCUUUCUCACUCAACCUAGAUGCACAAGUCCUUUCCAAGGUAUUCUUUAUGACUAUAUCAGGCUAGAAGGGCCUCCCUCCAAAGAGCUUCCUCACCAUUCUCAUUGAAGGGCAACAUCCCCCCUUUUUCAAUAUGUAAUCCUUGCAUUUCCAUUUUGAUGGGCGGUUUCAUCAUAGAAGACCCAUUGUUUUUGAGAAACUUGAUUUUGUUGUUGGACAUGAUUGCCAUAAUUUCUUAAGAGAUAGUCAAAGAUAUGUAACCUGAAUAAGUAGUAACAAGAAAAUUUCAUAAAGUUUUAGCUAAUGUAGAGUAUUGCGAUAAAUUAUGUGUGUUUUAGAGUUCUAUUCAAGUUUAUAAAACUUCAACGCAUUCAAAGUGGUGAUUUUUUAUUUU